rnacentral:lncRNA from 1 species
CCCUUAUUUAGUUUGAUUAAUAUUCUUAUUCUAUCAGUAAGAUGUUUCACUAUAACUGAACUCAUUUGUUAAUUUCAUUCCGAUUGCAGCUAGCGUUGGCUGAAAAUUAUUGGCAGAAAGGAUUCUGUGCAAGCGUAUAUGAAGGAUCGUGGAUUUUAAAAUCAUGGGGUCGUCGUUCUUACUCUUUAAGUGUAAUUCAAUUCACCUCUGCCAUCACCUUUUUAAUUGGAUAUUGGACAAUGAUGUUACUAUAUUGAUGAUAUUUUCUUCAACAGAUUGAAGAUUUCACAGAUCGGUCUGAAAAUGUUGCCAGAGCAGUUGGAACUAAAGAGCAAAAGAUGAUCUACACAUGUAUCCAUAACUCUCUUAACCAUAUUAAAGCUUUUCUAAAUGGCCAGAUGCAGGGUAUUAAGUUGAUGAGUCUUUUGUUUGGGGAGCAUACGGUUUCUACUCUAGGCAUUGGUAGUACUAGCAACAUCAAUGAAAAUAUGCAUAACCUUCCUAUUAUGCAAAAUCCUCCUCCUAAAAGGAGGUGUUUAGGGGAACGUUUUGAAGAGAGCCAGUCUCAGCAACCUAGUGAAAGAAAUAAUUUUGUUCAAGGUUUGCAAGGAAUAGGACCGCAGGGUAUAGGUCAGGUGCAGCGGGAGACUCCGUUUAACACAUUUGCUUCUUUUGUUCCCCCAUACAAGCCUCCUACUUUUAUUCCUAGUGCAAAUCACAGUUACGGCCCAAGUACAGUUCCUUCUCCCUAUGCCUUAAACCCAGUAGCUUCUGUAGGUUCUUAUAAUCCUUCACUACAAUCUCAUUUUGUUCACUCCCUAAGUUCUUUCGGUAACAUUGGGACAUCUCAUCAACAAGCAGUUGCCCCAAAUAUCUUUAUUGCGGAUCAAGUUCAAUCACAGCUUGCUCAUGUAAACCACAAUCAAUAUAGAGGAGACCAUACCUUUUACAACCAUAGGAAUCAUUAGUUUCAACCUUAUAAUGGAGGUUGUUUCUUAUAUAUUUAUCUUCUCAUGUUAAGUUUACAUUAGCAGAUAAUUGACAUAUAGACAACCAAUAUCUUCUCAUGUUAAGUUUUUU